AUAACAUGUAUAAAAGCGUUAUCAUGAUACGUUUUCACUUCACAGUUAGUUAAGUGAGAAAUUAGUUUCAUUGAACUUUAUGUGAAAGUGAAAACUGUAAACACUUGUAAACGU